UUCUUAAUGGGUAUAGAGUUCCUGCUUUGCAAGAUGAUGGAGAUGGAUGGUAAUGAUGGUUGCACAAUAUUAUGAAAAUAUUUAAUACCACUGAGGUGUUACAGUUAAAAACGGUUAAAAUGGUAAAUUUUACAUUAUAUGUAUUUUAUCACAAUAAAUAAAUGAAAAAAAAGGAAAAAGAGGACCCAGAGACCUAGGUACAAAGCAGGUUCUGACUUGGCAGAUGGGGUGGGGCCUGGGACUCUGCAUUUCCAAUAAGUUCCCCGGUGAUGUAUGUGCUGCUGGUCUGUGGACCACAAUUUGAGUAGAAGUGUCAUUGUCUCCCAUAAUGCUGGAUGGUGACAUGAACGAGAAAGGGAAUGGAAAGGAAUCAGGCUUGCUGAGUCAGGAGCAGGAUGGAAUGAGCAAGUUGACUCAGCUGCGCAGGGAGGGCCUCCCCCUCUAUCAUAGGGCCUGUUUCCUAUAGUGGGAACAGGCCUACUUAGACACAGGUGUGUGUGUCUGUAUAUUGUCAACACCUGCGGGCACCGGAUGCUUCAGUGUUUGCUCAAAGCCUCUGUUCUCAGAAAGUUCGUGCUGCAGGCUGCUGGUCAGAACGCCUCAGGAAGCAGGUCCUGUGAAAAAUUAAACCCAAUUUGCUUUCUCCAUAUUCCUGAGUUGAGGUGGACAUCCGAACUGAGGCAGUUUAUGGCAGCACAUGGUUAAGGAAGGGGAGAGCGUUGGCAGCUAAACAAAUGGCAGAAUAAUGAUUAAGUGGAGAAACAGCUGGGUGCUGUAACAUACAGAUGAGAACAAGCAAACAUUUAGAGAAUUGUGCAUGUUCCCUGCAAAAGUGGAGAGACUCAGGUCUGUGUCAAAGUGAUACUGCAAAAAUGAGAUAAAAAGUUCUCCUUCUGGUUGUUAAUUACCCUGCACAUUCCACAGAACUGAUGAAGUUUGCACAGAAUGGUCUGCAUAAAGCAGACGAGAUCCGUCUUUCAUCCCCUUAGAGCCCUGGGAUUUAUGGGAUCACAGAUAUCUAUACACACAUUCUGAUGCAGUGCUUGCCAGA